UGCGUAGGCGGCUUUGCAAGUCAGAUGUGAAAUCUAUGGGCUCAACCCAUAAACUGCAUUUGAAACUGUAGAGCUUGAGUGAAGUAGAGGCAGGCGGAAUUCCCCGUGUAGCGGUGAAAUGCGUAGAGAUGGGGAGGAACACCAGUGGCGAAGGCGGCCUGCUGGGCUUUAACUGACGCUGAGGCAAAGACGUGGGUAGCAAACA
rnacentral:rRNA from 1 species